rnacentral:rRNA from 1 species
GAUGAACGCUGGCGGCGUGCUUACACAUGCAAGUCGAACGGAAAGGCCCUGGUUUGGUGUGGUGCUCGAGUGGCGAACGGGUGAGUAACACGUGAGUGAUCUGCCCUGGACUUCGGGAUAACUUCGGGAAACUGGGGCUAAUACCGGAUAGGACCUCUUGCUGCAUGUUGGUGUGUGAAACUUUUGCGCGAUGGGAUGAGCACUCGCGCUUUAUCCUUGUGGGGGGGGGGAAGUGCUAUACCGGCGUCUACAGGGAUCCCCCCUCAGAGAGUGUGACGCCCCAUUGUGACAGAGAUAUAGCGCCCACACUCAUAGGAGACGCCACUGUGGAAAAUUGUGCACUGUGCGCGGACCUGAGAUGCCGACACCCCGCGUGCGAUGAGAGCCUCCUCGUUGUGUACUCCUUUCUCUACUGAGAAAGAAUUUGUGUGACGGUACCGGGAAAAGAAGCACCGGCUAACUACGUGCCAGCAGCCGCGGUGAUACGUAGGGUGCGAGCGUUGUCCGGAUUUACUGGGCGUAAAGAGCUCGCAGGUGGUUGAUCGCGUCGGAAGUGUAAUCUUGGGGCUUAACUGUGAGCGUGCUUUCGAUACGGGUUGACUUGAGGAAGGUAGGGGAGAAUGGAAUUCCUGGUGGAGCGGUGGAAUGCGCAGAUAUCAGGAGGAACACCAGUGGCGAAGGCGGUUCUCUGGGCCUUUCCUGACGCUGAGGAGCGAAAGCGUGGGGAGCGAACAGGCUUAGAUACCCUGGUAGUCCACGCUGUAAACGGUGGGUACUAGGUGUGGGGUCCAUUCCACGGGUUCCGUGCCGUAGCUAACGCUUUAAGUACCCCGCCUGGGGAGUACGGCCGCAAGGCUAAAACUCAAAGGAAUUGACGGGGCCCCGCACAAGCGGCGGAGCAUGCGGAUUAAUUCGAUGCAACGCGUAGAACCUUACCUGGGUUUGACAUGGAUCGGGAGUGCUCAGAGAUGGGUGUGCCUCUUUUGGGGUCGGUUCACAGGUGGUGCAUGGCUGUCGUCAGCUCGUGUCGUGAGAUGUUGGGUUAAGUCCCGCAACGAGCGCAACCCUUGUUCACUGUUGCCAGCACGUUAUGGUGGGGACUCAGUGGAGACCGCCGGGGUCAACUCGGAGGAAGGUGGGGAUGACGUCAAGUCAUCAUGCCCCUUAUGUCCAGGGCUUCACGCAUGCUACAAUGGCUGGUACAGAGAGUGGCGAGCCUGUGAGGGUGAGCGAAUCUCGGAAAGCCGGUCUCAGUUCGGAUUGGGGUCUGCAACUCGACCUCAUGAAGUCGGAGUCGCUAGUAAUCGCAGAUCAGCAACGCUGCGGUGAAUACGUUCCCGGGCCU